UACGUAGGGUGCAAGCGUUGUCCGGAAUUAUUGGGCAUAAAGAGCUCGUAGGCGGUUUGUCGCGUCUGCUGUGAAAACGCGAGGCUCAACCUCGCGCCUGCAGUGGGUACGGGCAGACUAGAGUGUGGUAGGGGAGAUUGGAAUUCCUGGUGUAGCGGUGGAAUGCGCAGAUAUCAGGAGGAACACCGAUGGCGAAGGCAGAUCUCUGGGCCAUUACUGACGCUGAGGAGCGAAAGCGUGGGGAGCGAACAGG
rnacentral:rRNA from 1 species